rnacentral:rRNA from 1 species
AAGACCUAACUAAUAUAGAAUUAGAUAUUAAAAGCAAUUGCUAUCUAUUAAACCUAAAGAAUAUGGCGGUGUCUUUUACACUUAGGGGAACCUGUUUAUUAAUUUGAUAUUCCACAAUUUAUUGUCUUACCACACUUAGUAUUAUCAGCUUGUAUACUACUGUCGAAAGUAAACCUUAAUAAGUUUGUUUACAACUAUCAUAAUAUAAUGAUGACGUCAAGUCCUAGUGCCGCUUAUAGUGUGGGUAUUAAUGGGUUACAAUCUAUAAAAAGAUACGGAAUAAUAUAUUAAUUAUAUUAUAAAGGUGGACUUAAGAGUAAUAAUAAAAUAAUAUUAUAAAUUGAUAUCAAAGACAUGUACACAUCGCCCGUCGCUCCAGU